rnacentral:lncRNA from 1 species
CCGGCAGAGGCGACGCUGGUGACGGCGGUCAGCACGGAGUGAGCAGGAAAGCGAGGCCAUUUGAGCAGCCAUACCAAGAGUCCUGAGGAAUGUCACGAGUAACCGAUGCAACAGAGGAAUCAAGAUGCUCUCAGACCAUAACAGGGACGAGGAGCCGCCAGGGGAGCUCUCCGAACACCAGGUGAAGGAGCAACUCGGGGAGGUGCGGCACCAAACUGUCCUUCACUGGAAUCAUAGAGGACUAAGGUCUCAUCUGGAGAGAAUUUUAGAGGAAGGGUCGCAUAUUCGUCAUGUUGUUCAGCUGACGCGCAGUCUUGUAACCUGCUGAGUACUGAAGAAGUGAAAAGCAGAUCCAGCACAAGCGGAAAUAUUCAUUACACUUGCAUACGAUAUCCCGAAUAUAAUCCCCGGCAAAAGUAAACGACAACACAAGACAAAUACAAGCUUUUGACACCUCCAUCUCUGCAGUCCCGAGAACUUGGGAUCUCUUGCAUAACUGACUUACUGUUAUCUCCAUGGGAACUGUUGAGAGCAUUACUGGACUCAGUUGGUACAGAUUUUUUCAUAGACUUACGUCGACUUCGAAACCUCUAAGUGCCAAUGCAGAGUGGCAACAACGUAACUCGUUUUGGGGAGGACUUCACGGCCUCUACGUAGACCACAAUUAGCAGAAGGAGUUGCCACAUUCAUCGCCACUCUGCCGAUGCUCAGCUGUGUCUCUUGCUGUUUAAUUCUCCGACUCAUCUUAGAGCUCUCUCCUGUAAGGCUCUCUGUGUGUUUUUUUGUUAGGUGUCAUUAGAUUGCUGUUAUUGCUGAUAGUAUUUUUAGGUUUUUAUUAUUUGUGAUACUUUUUAAAUUUGUUUUUGUUGUUUUUGUUGUUGUUAGUAGUGUUGUUAUUAUUAUAUUUAUUUUAGUUAUUAUUGAUAGUAGUAGUAU